rnacentral:rRNA from 1 species
UACGUAGGUGCCAAGCGUUGUCCGGAUUUACUGGGCGUUAAGGGAGCGUAGGCGGACUUUUAAGUGAGAUGUGAAAUACCCGGGCUCAACCUGGGUGCUGCAUUUCAAACUGGAAGUCUAGAGUGCAGGAGAGGAGAAUGGAAUUCCUAGUGUAGCGGUGAAAUGCGUAGAGAUUAGGAAGAACACCAGUGGCGAAGGCGAUUCUCUGGACUGUAACUGACGCUGAGGCUCGAAGGCGUGGGGAGCAAACAGG